GAAGCAUAAAUGAAAUAAACACGUAAUAGGUUGAUACACCCCGAAAUUCCACAGAUCAUGAGGAUAUAUUAUUUGUCUGCCUGUGACCUACCGUUAUCGAUCACCAGACCCGAGAGUCAACAUGUUUAUUUUACACAACGUUUUCACGAAACGGCAAACAUCUUACAAGAGUGAAGGAUGCAAAGGAUUUGGAUGAUGAUGUUUGGGAGCCACCCCUCCCCUACAGGUGCCCCACCUGUAGGGGAGGGGGAGCCCCACCUGAUAUUGUUCACAUGUUGUGUAAGCCCCACCUGAUAUUGUUCACAUGUUGUGUAAGCCCCACCUGAUAUUGUUCACAUGUUGUGGAAGCCCCACCUAUUAUUGUUCACAUGUUGUGGAAGCCCCACCUAUUAUUGUUCACAUGUUGUGGAAGCCCCACCUAUUAUUGUUCACAUGUUGUGGAAGCCCCACCUAUUAUUGAUCACAUGUUGUGGAAGCCCCACCUAUUAUUGUUCACAUGUUGUGGAAGCCAUCCAAUGUGUUUCCAGCUCUGGUCAUCAAUAAUUCACUUGUCAAUAAAAGAUGUUUCAAAA